GAUACCCGCCCUAGUUCUAACCAUAAACGAUGCCAACCAGCGAUCCGCCUGAGUUACUCAAAUGACUCGGCGGGCAGCUUCCGGGAAACCAAAGUAUUUGGGUUCCGGGGGAAGUAUGGUUGCAAAGCUGAAACUUAAAGGAAUUGACGGAAGGGCACCACCAGGAGUGGAGCCUGCGGCUUAAUUUGACUCAACACGGGAAAACUUACCCGGCCCGGACACUGGGAGGAUUGACAGAUUGAGAGCUCUUUCUUGAUUCGGUGGAUGGUGGUGCAUGGCCGUUCUUAGUUGGUGGAGCGAUUUGUCUGGUUAAUUCCGAUAACGAACGAGACUCUAGCCUAUUAAAUAGGUGCGGGGUUCCCAGCACCUUACAACCUUCUUAGAGGGACAAGCGGCUCCUAGCCGCACGAAACAGAGCAAUAACAGGUCUGUGAUGCCCUUAGAUGUCCGGGGCCGCACGCGCGCUACACUGAAGGAGGCAGCGUGUUUUUUUCCCUGUCUGAAAAGACUGGGUAACCCGUGGAACUUCCUUCGUGAUUGGGAUAGGGGCUUGCAAUUGUUCCCCUUGAACGAGGAAUUCCCAGUAAGCGCGAGUCAUAAGCUCGCGUUGAUUACGUCCCUGCCCUUUGUACACACCGCCCGUCGCUACUACCGAUUGAAUGAUUUAGUGAGGUCUUCGGACCGAUGUCCGGCGCGGCCUUUCGGUUGCGCCGGUCUGUUGGAAAGAUGACCAAACUUGAUCAUUUAGAGGAAGUAAAAGUCGUAACAAGGUUUCCGUAGGU
rnacentral:rRNA from 1 species